AUUGAACGCUGGCGGAAUGCUUUACACAUGCAAGUCGAACGGCAGCACGGACUUCGGUCUGGUGGCGAGUGGCGAACGGGUGUGUAAUGUAUCGGAACGUGACCAGCCGUGGGGGAUAACGUAGUGAAAUUUACGCUAAGACCGCAUACGAUCUAUGGAUGAAAGAGGGGGACAGCAAGAGCUCGCGCGAUUGGAGCGGCCGCUAUCGGAUUAGGUAGUUGGUGGGGUAAGGGCCCACCAAGCCAACGAUCUGUAGCUGGUCUGAGGGGACGACCAGCCACACUGGAACUGAGACACGGUACGGACUCCUACGGGAGGCAGCAGUGGGGAAUUUUGGACAAUGGGCGAAAGCCUGAUCCAGCCAUUCCGCGUGCAGGAUGAAGGCCCUCGGGUUGUAAACUGCUUUUGUACAGAACGAAAAGGUUUCUACUAAUACUAGGAGCUCAUGACGGUACUGUAAGAAUAAGCACCGGCUAACUACGUGCCAGCAGCCGCGGUAA
rnacentral:rRNA from 1 species